rnacentral:lncRNA from 1 species
CAAACCCUAACACAGAAGUUGGGUAUAGAAAAAGAGAAGAAACAAAGCAAUCAAAGAAGAAGAAAAGAGUUAGGAAAGCAAAACUUGUACCCAAAGAUGGAUCAUCCUAACGCAAUUUCUGUUUGCUAUUAUGGAUGGCCAACAACUCCUAGGAUUUCGUGGCCAAACAAAAUAUCCUGGGAGAAAUUUUUUUGGGUGCAAGAAUUAUAGGUACUCAUAUGGCUUUCGAAUUUAUUGUUAUUUCUUCAAUUGGUUUGAUCAUUCGAUGUCACUUCGUGCAAGGGCAGUUGCCAUAGGUUUGUUAAGGAGGAUUUGGACUAUGGAAAUGGAGAAGAUGAGAGAACGGAUGAGGUGGUUCUUCGGGCCUGUUGCUAUUGUGAUAAUGGUUUGUAUCAUGAAGUGAAGAGAUGGGUUUUAGGGAAGUGUGUGUGCUUUCGGUUUUAGUUUUCAAUUCUUGGUUUAAGUUUAAAAGCGAAAAGAUGGG